AUGUCCCGGCAGACUGUCACCAAAGAAAGCAGAACUGAUAGCUGUUAGAUUGUAAUCCGGGGACCGCGGCCCUCAGCCCUCAGCAGGGAGGGAGCUAAGGGCCAACGCAGCUGGUUAUUAAAGAAGUUUAUCUGGAUUGUUUUUAAUGAGGGAUUUCUCACUUCAUUAAAACAGAAGAAACAGUAUAUUCCGGGCCCUGAGAGGAAUCCACUUCUUUUUCGUGGACGAAGCCCCUUGGGCACAGAUGCACUGAAGAAGAUGGGCACACAAAAGCACAGGAACUCAACCGUGUGUGUUCAACCCACAAGCACGCGUCUUCGUGCUGCGUGGACCCCGAGGGAGGCAGCAGGUCCGAGCUGGGAGGCGGCCCUGUUCCGGCCUCUGUCAGUGACUUCGAGGAGGAGGCCUCACAGCCCAGCCGCGGCGACAGGCUCCCUGAGAAGCCGCCACAGAGAAGUGUCACGGCAAACAGAGAACCCUGAAGCAGUGGGCUACAGGAGAGGUGAGUUUGGAGGGGUGAGGCAAGGUGAUGGGUGGUCAGACCCGGCUGGAGGGGAAGCCUGAUGGGUGACCUGGGUGGCCAGGGAGCAGCUAAUCACAGGGAAGAAGAGUUAUGGAGAGAGGACAGAGAGGGACAGUGGGAAAGAUGCUAAAGAAAACAGCCUCCCUUCCAUCAGUCAUGACUGCUUUCCUGAGGUCAGGAAGGACUAAAUGGUCGCAAAACUCUCUCACAACUUGUUGCUACCACCUUUCCACAGCAGGGCUUGCCUAGAUGGAGACCAUCUGAGGCCAAAAAUUAUUUCACAUCAGCCUAGCCCACUCCUUCAGAACAACCAGGAUAAGCCACAUCCACCCCAUUGGUCUAUGUGAGAGCAACAACCCCUGGAAUAGCCGUUGCUACUGAAAAUGUAAAAAUGGUCUUUCCCCUCCUGGCCACGACCAGGUCUCUGAAGCCCCUCUUCUCUUCCCGCCAUCCCUCCCCUGGACCGUCCAGGACUGGGGAUAUUCUGUGAGGGGCCAGAACCAGAAACCCUGGGGUGUGACCAACCUUCCCGAGGGCUGGCGUGCUCAGUCCCAUGAAUGACAACUCCGGUUCAUAAAGGUGAGUGUCUUCCUUCCGGGUGUGUUCACCAGUUCCCUGACAGGAGAAUGCCGACCUCAAAAGAGGUGGGAAGAGACCGUAGGGAACAUCCUUCUGAAGGAAUGAGAGGACCGUAGGGGGCGGGCAUUAGGUCUGGAGAGAGAAAUGAAACAAAAUUGUGGAUGCUGGUCUUCAGGUGACAUGAAGCUUGCACCUGCUGUGUGCGAUUUGCACACCCUUGUUGCAGUUUCCACAUGGUACCAUACUCAUAGCAAUGCAGCCCUACUGUACAGCACAGGGAACUACAUCUGGUCUCUUGGGAAAGACCAUGAUGGAAGAUGACACAGGAAAGGGAAUGUAUGUAUAUGUGUGACGGGGUCACUUUGCUAUACAGCAGAAAUUGGCACAACAUUGUAAAUCAACUAUACUUUAAAAACAAUUGGUUUCACCUGUUUAGACUGAUAAAGCUUCUAGGACCAGGUGAACUGUGUCAUGAAAACCAGUGAGGAAGAAGGCAAAGAGGAAUAAACAGCCUGUCUUUUAAUAAAGACA
rnacentral:lncRNA from 1 species